AUUGUAUCCACGAUUGGGGAAUUUUCCGCAAUGGGCGAAAGCCUGACGGAGCAAUACCGCGUGAGGGAGGAAGGCUCUUGGGUCGUAAACCUCUUUUCUCAGGGAAGAACACAAUGACGGUACCUGAGGAAUAAGCAUCGGCUAACUCCGUGCCAGCAGCCGCGGUAAUACGGAGGAUGCAAGCGUUAUCCGGAAUGAUUGGGCGUAAAGCGUCCGCAGGUGGCUUAUCAAGUCGAUUGUCAAAGGUCUUGGCUCAACUGGGAACAGGCAGUGGAAACUGAAAAGCUAGAGUGCGGUAGGGGUAGAGGGAAUUCCCGGUGUAGCGGUGAAAUGCGUAGAGAUCGGGAAGAACACCAGUGGCGAAAGCGCUCUACUAGGCCUGCACUGACACUCAUGGACGAAAGCUAGGGGAGCGAAAGGGAUUAGAUACCCCAGUAGUCAAUCGUGGAUACAAU
rnacentral:rRNA from 1 species